rnacentral:RNase_P_RNA from 1 species
GCAACAGUAGCAGGCAAUCGCAUUACAGCCUUGAGCCGUAAUGAGGAAAGUCCGGACUGCACAGGAUAGGGAGUCCUUCUGUAGUGGGAGGAUACCGUGGACGAGACGCCGCGGGAAGGAAAGUGCAACAGAAAAUACACCGCCACGCAGCAAUGCGCGGUAAGGUUGAAAUGGUGGGGUAAGAGCCCACCGGGUACGGCGUAAUCCGUAUCGCAGUGUAAACCCCUCCUGCAGCAAGACCAAAUAGGGAACGAGCCGUGAUCCGUGGCGUUAUGAGUUCCGGGUUCUGGUCGCUUAGAUAGAUGAUUGCCACUCCGGCGCUUGCGCUGGAUGACAGAAUCCGGCUUAUUCUACUGUUGCCGUU